UUAGGUUUUUUUCUAUUUAUAGGAUUUGGACCAGUACAUUGCAAUGAUUUUCUGGAUAUUUAUAAAGACGGAUCUGGUCUGACCUCAUUUAGAUGUUUGUAUUUGCCCAAACCCAUGAUUCCCAUGAGCUUGUGAUGUAUAAGCUCAAAAUCCUACGAGAUUCAUGGGUUAGACCAAGACAAUCAAGUCAAAUUGAAUUAGACUCA
rnacentral:lncRNA from 1 species